CCUACGGGAGGCAGCAGUGGGGAAUAUUGCACAAUGGGCGCAAGCCUGAUGCAGCAACCCCGCGUGAGGGACGAAGGCCUUCGGGUUGUAAACCUCUUUUAGUAGGGAAGAAGCGACUGGGUUUUCCUGGGAGUGACGGUACCUGCAGAAAAAGCACCGGUUAACUACGUGCCAGCAGCCGCGGUAAUACGUAGGGUGCAAGCGUUGUCCGGAAUUAUUGGGCGUAAAGAGCUCGUAGGCGGUUUGUCGCGCCUGCUGUGAAAACCCGAGGCUCAACCUCGGGCCUGCAGUGGGUACGGGCAGACUAGAGUGCGGUAGGGGAGAUUGGAAUUCCUGGUGUAGCGGUGGAAUGCGCAGAUAUCAGGAGGAACACCAAUGGCGAAGGCAGAUCUCUGGGCCGUAACUGACGCUGAGGAGCGAAAGCAUGGGGAGCGAACAGGAUUAGAUACCCUGGUAGUCCAUGCCGUAAACGUUGGGAACUAGAUGUGGGGACCAUUCCACGGUCUCCGUGUCGCAGCUAACGCAUUAAGUUCCCCGCCUGGGGAGUACGGCCGCAAGGCUAAAACUCAAAGGAAUUGACGGGGGCCCGCACAAGCGGCGGAGCAUGCGGAUUAAUUCGAUGCAACGCGAAGAACCUUACCAAGGCUUGACAUAUACCGGAAACGGCUGGAAACAGUCGCCCCGCAAGGUCGGUAUACAGGUGGUGCAUGGUUGUCGUCAGCUCGUGUCGUGAGAUGUUGGGUUAAGUCCCGCAACGAGCGCAACCCUCGUCCUAUGUUGCCAGCACGUAAUGGUGGGAACUCAUGGGAUACUGCCGGGGUCAACUCGGAGGAAGGUGGGGAUGACGUCAAAUCAUCAUGCCCCUUAUGUCUUGGGCUUCACGCAUGCUACAAUGGCCGGUACAAAGGGCUGCGAUACCGCAAGGUGGAGCGAAUCCCAAAAAGCCGGUCUCAGUUCGGAUUGAGGUCUGCAACUCGACCUCAUGAAGUCGGAGUCGCUAGUAAUCGCAGAUCAGCAACGCUGCGGUGAAUACGUUCCCGGGCCUUGUACACACCGCC
rnacentral:rRNA from 1 species